rnacentral:tRNA from 1 species
UCUAAUAUGACAGAAAAUGUGAAGAGUUUAAAACUCUUUUAUAAAAGAAUACUUUUUAUUAGAA